GACAGAGGAGGCGAGCGUUAUCCGGAGUUAUUGGGCGUAAAGGGUACGUAGGCGGCUAGUCAAGUCUGGGGUUAAAGACCGCAGCUUAACUGUGGAGGGGCCUUGGAAACUGACAGGCUGGAGAGGGGCAGGGGUUGCCGGAAUUCCCGGUGUAGCGGUGAAAUGCGUAGAUAUCGGGAAGAACACCUGAGGCGAAAGCGCGCAACUGGGCCCUAUCUGACGCUGAGGCACGAAAGCGUGGGGAGCGAAUGGG
rnacentral:rRNA from 1 species